rnacentral:rRNA from 1 species
AACGAACGCUGGCGGCAUGCCUAACACAUGCAAGUCGAACGGGAUCCAUCCUUCGGGGUGGUGAGAGUGGCGGACGGGUGAGUAACGCGUGGGAACCUGCCCAGUGGUGGGGGAUAACUGCGGGAAACUGCAGCUAAUACCGCAUGAGCCCGAGAGGGGAAAGAUUUAUCGCCAUUGGAGGGGCCCGCGUUCGAUUAGGUAGUUGGUGAGGUAAUGGCUCACCAAGCCUGCGAUCGAUAGCUGGUCUGAGAGGAUGAUCAGCCACACUGGGACUGAGAUACGGCCCAGACUCCUACGGGAGGCAGCAGUGGGGAAUAUUGGACAAUGGGGGCAACCCUGAUCCAGCAAUGCCGCGUGAGUGAUGAAGGCCUUAGGGUUGUAAAGCUCUUUUGGCGGGGACGAUGAUGACGGUACCCGCAGAAUAAGCCCCGGCUAACUUCGUGCCAGCAGCCGCGGUAAUACGAAGGGGGCAAGCGUUGUUCGGAAUUACUGGGCGUAAAGGGCGCGUAGGCGGCUUAUCAAGUCAGGCGUGAAAUUCCCGGGCUCAACCUGGGGGCUGCGCUUGAUACUGGUUGGCUUGAAUACGGGAGAGGAUAGUGGAAUUCCCAGUGUAGAGGUGAAAUUCGUAGAUAUUGGGAAGAACACC